UGAUGCGGAUGGCGCCGCGUAGCCGGUCGCCCAUCCUCGCCCGUCCUUCCUCUCGAUCGGCUUCUUUUUCUGUUUCUGACAAAUUGAGGGCCACGUUUUUUCUUUCUUUUUUUUCCUUCCUUCGGGAGCGCGAGGCCACGCGGCGCCCGUAUAAUUUUUGCUCCCUUAAUAAUAGUCUCGAACAAUCGGCCAGUUUCCUGUGCGCACAUUUAGAGAGACUAGUGAUGGUAGUAGUACAGACAGCGAUGGAGGCGUAAAUGGAGGGCCGCCGGGAGCCGCCGAUCGCCGCCGUCGGCGGCUACGACGUUCUGGCGCGGCUCGGGCCGGCCGAUGCCUGCGGGCGAAUCUCGACCGUCUAUCGCGGGGCCCGCAGAUCGGACGGGCGGAACGUGGCCCUCAAGCAGGUGUGCCUCUCCGGCCUCAGCGCGAAUCUCAAAGACUCCCUCGACUGCGAGAUCCGCUUCCUCGCCUCCGUCCGCCACCCCAACAUCAUCCGCCUCCUUGAUGUCGUCCAAGCCGACGGAUCCACAUUCCUUGUGUUGGAAUUCUGCGAGGGAGGGGAUUUAGCUGCAUACAUUAAGCGCAAUGGGAGAGUGCAAGAACAUGUAGUACGGAAGUUCAUGAGGCAGCUCGGAGCUGGUCUAAAAGUACUUCGUACUCACCAUAUAAUCCAUAGAGAUUUAAAACCUGAGAACAUUUUACUUUCUACUCCUACCGCGGACGCUGUGUUAAAGAUUGCUGAUUUUGGCCUAUCAAGAUUUCUUCCUCCUGGUGAAUAUGUAGAGAUGGUAUGUGGAUCACCAUUCUACAUGGCUCCAGAAGUCAUGCUAUUCCAGAAGUAUGAUGAUAAGGUAGACAUGUGGAGCAUCGGUGUGAUUUUUUUCGAGCUUUUGAAUGGGUACCCACCUUUUCAUGGCCGAAGCUAUGUUGAGGUAUCUCUGCCCAAAAGCUACUGCAAAACAUAAAGAAAUGCACAUCAUUGCCAUUCUCGGAGCUCCUUCUCCGGAGCUUACAUCCCCAUACCGUUAACAUGUGCGCUAGGCUCCUCUGUGUUGAUCCAGAGGAACGAUUGCCCUUCGACGAAUUCUAUCGCGCAAGUUCUUCACAAGAUUGUAUGUCUCUUCAUAAUGCUUAAAAGACAAAUAUAAUGAUGUUCUAAGAGAAAAAAAUGUGAAAAGGUGAAUUUGACUUUAGCUGAAGCUAAACAAUAAUUCAACUGCACAGCUAUUUAAAGCAU